CCGGGAUAGCUCAGUCGGUAGA
rnacentral:tRNA from 2 species